CUUACAGAGUUUCUUGGCAUUCUGUCCACCUCCACUUCUUGGCCCUAUCUACGUACUCGGAGGUGGAUAUACUGCCAAUAGAGCUGUGUUGG
rfam:Glycine soja cultivar W05 scaffold2021_52, whole genome shotgun sequence.